AAAAAAAAAAAAAAAAAAAAAAAAAAGAUUAAAGUAAUAAUAAAAGAAAAAAAAAAAAAAAAAAAAAAAAAAAAAAAAAAAAAAAAAAAAAAAAAAAAAAAAGCUACAAUUAAAAAAAAAAAAAAAAAAAAAAAAAAAAAAAAAACAAGGGCAGCAGGAAAGAUCUCCCCUUUUGGUCAGUAUUUACUAUUCCUAGUAGAUGUGUAAACAUCACACACCCAUGGAGAGGAAAGGGAACACUGGAGAAUGAGCUGUUGUGGUGAGGAAUUAUUUAAAUUAUAUAACAUAGGAUGAAGCAUCUCCAGAUUUGGCAAACAAGAUGUUCAAGAAAUCAAGAGUUAAUACAAGUCUUUCCCAAGAAGUGGAGUGUUUGAUAAUAACUAGAGAUUCAGGUUAAAUUUUCACUACUGUGGUCCAUCAGCGUACACAAAACAUGAAUUUCAGAGGAGUUAUAAGUAAAUUGAAGUAAGUCAUUGGUUAUCAAUUUGUGCACAUCUAGCAGAU
ensembl:lncRNA